GAUGAAGAACGCAGUGAAAUGCGAUACUUGGUGUGAAUUGCAGAAUCCCGUGAACCAUCGAGUCUUUGAACGCAAGUUGCGCCCGAAGCCACUAGGCCGAGGGCACGCCUGCCUGGGCGUCACACGCCGUUGCCCCCCCAUCUACUCCUUCGGGAUUGCGGGGGGGCGGAUGAUGGCCUCCUGUGCGCCUAGCCGCGCGGUUGGCAUAAAUACCAAGUCCUCGGCGACGCACGCCACGACAAUCGGUGGUUGCGAAACCUCGGUUGCCCGUCGUGUGCGUUCGUCGCGCAUCGAGGGCUCGAAAAAAUGCUCGGCUCCGGCUGGGCUUUCAACGCGACCCCAGGUCAGGCGGGGUUACCCGCUGAAUUUAAGCAUAUCAAUAAGCGGAGGA
rnacentral:misc_RNA from 1 species